rnacentral:rRNA from 1 species
CAGCAGCCACGGGAAUACGAAGGGGGCUAGCGUUGUUCGGAUUUACUGGGCGUAAAGCGCACGUAGGCGGAUCGAUCAGUCAGGGGUGAAAUCCCAGAGCUCAACUCUGGAACUGCCUUUGAUACUGGAAGUCUUGAGUUCGGGAGAGGUGAGUGGAACUGCGAGUGUAGAGGUGAAAUUCGUAGAUAUUCGCAAGAACACCAGUGGCGAAGGCGGCUCACUGGCCCGAUGCUGACGCUGAGGUGCGAAAGCGUGGGGAGCAAACAGGAUUAGAUACCCGCGUAGUCCCUGUCUCUUAUAC